CAGAUUGAACGCUGGCGGCAUGCUUUACACAUGCAAGUCGAGCGGCGGCGCGGGGGCAACCUGGCGGCGAGCGGCGGACGGGUGAGUAAUGCAUCGGAACGUAUCCCGUAGUGGGGGACAACCCAGCGAAAGCUGGGCUAAUACCGCAUAUGCUCUACGGAGGAAAGUGGGGGACCCGCAAGGGCCUCACGCUAUGGGAGCGGCCGAUGUCCGAUUAGCUAGUUGGUGGGGUAAAGGCCUACCAAGGCGACGAUCGGUAGCUGGUCUGAGAGGAUGAUCAGCCACACUGGGACUGAGACACGCCCCAGACUCCUACGGGAGGCAGCAGUGGGGAAUUUGGACAAUGGGGGCAACCCUGAUCCAGCCAUGCCGCGUGCGGGAAGAAGGCCUUCGGGUUGUAAACCGCUUUUGUUCGGGAAGAAAAGGCACGUCCUAAUACGGCGUGUUCUUGACGGUACCGGAAGAAUAAGCACCGGCUAACUACGUG
rnacentral:rRNA from 1 species